rnacentral:rRNA from 1 species
CCUACGGGAGGCAGCAGUGGGGAAUAUUGGACAAUGGGGGAAACCCUGAUCCAGCGACGCCGCGUGAGUGAAGAAGUAUUUCGGUACGUAAAGCUCUAUCAGCAGGAAAGAAAAUGACGGUACCUGACUAAGAAGCCCCGGCUAACUACGUGCCAGCAGCCGCGGUAAUACGUAGGGGGCAAGCGUUAUCCGGAUUUACUGGGUGGAAAGGGAGCGUAGACGGCAGCGCAAGUCUGGAGUGAAAUGCCGGGGCCCAACCCCGGAACUGCUCUGGAAACUGUGAAGCUGGAGUGCAGGAGUGGUAAGCGGAAUUCCUGGUGUAGCGGUGAAAUGCGUAGAUAUCAGGAGGAACACCGGCGGCGAAGGCGGCUUACUGGACUGUAACUGACGUUGAGGCUCGAAGGCGUGGGGAGCAAACAGGAUUAGAUACCCCAGUAGUC